rnacentral:rRNA from 1 species
GAUGAACGCUGGCGGCGUGCCUAAUACAUGCAAGUCGAGCGAACGGACGAGAAGCUUGCUUCUCUGAUGUUAGCGGCGGACGGGUGAGUAACACGUGGAUAACCUACCUAUAAGACUGGGAUAACUUCGGGAAACCGGAGCUAAUACCGGAUGAUAUUUUGAGCCGCAUGGUUCAAAAGUGAAAGACGGUCUUGCUGUUACUUAUAGAUGGAUCCGCGCUGCAUUAGCUGGUUGGUAAGGUAACGGCUUACCAAGGCAACGAUGCAUAGCCGACCUGAGAGGGUGAUCGGCCACACUGGAACUGAGACACGGUCCAGACUCCUACGGGAGGCAGCAGUAGGGAAUCUUCCGCAAUGGGCGAAAGCCUGACGGAGCAACGCCGCGUGAGUGAUGAAGGUCUUCGGAUCGUAAAACUCUGUUAUUAGGGAAGAACAUAUGUGUAAGUAACUGUGCACAUCUUGACGGUACCUAAUCAGAAAGCCACGGCUAACUACGUG